GAGACUCUGUGCGCGUGCAUAUCAAUAAGCGGAGGAAAAGAAACUAACAAGGAUUCCCCUAGUAACGGCGAGUGAAGCGGGAAGAGCUCAAAUUUGUAAUCUUAAAGGGUUUCCCUUUACGAAUUGUAGUUUAAAGAAGUGUUUUCUGUUGGAGUUUCGGUAAAAGUUCUUUGGAAUAGGACAUCAUAGAGGGUGAGAAUCCCGUAUUUGACCGUUACUUUCCUAGCUGUGUGAUACACUUUCAAGAGUCGGAUUGUUUGGGAAUGCAGUCCAAAAUGGGUGGUAAAUUUCAUCUAAAGCUAAAUAUUGGCGAGAGACCGAUAGCGAACAAGUACCGUGAGGGAAAGAUGAAAAGAACUUUGAAAAGAGAGUUAAACAGUACGUGAAAUUGUCAAAAGGGAAGCGUUUGACACCAGUGUUGUUUUUCGAAAAUCAAUUACGAAUAGUUUUUGAUUCUGAGUAAGUAUUGACUUCAUCAGCUUGCUGCUUUCUUCUCUAUGAAAUUAUUGAAUGCACUUUUCAGGUUAACAAGUCAACAUCAAUUUCUUUUGUUGUAAAAGGGUAUGAGGAAGGUGGCUUUCUCUUCGGCGCAAGUGUUUAUAGCCUUGUAGCCUCUGCAAUCGGAGAGAUUGAGGUCUGCAGCGUAGAUCCUUCGGGGUUAGAUACAGUUUGUGCUAAGCUAUAGCCUUUUCAUAGACAACUUGUUGACUAUGUCUCAGUCAUGUAGCUUACUCGCUGAUGCUAUUUUACCUACGCUUAGGAUGUUGACAGCAGUAUAGACUG
rnacentral:rRNA from 1 species